rnacentral:lncRNA from 1 species
GCCCGUCUCGACACCACCUCGGUGCGUCGCCUCCUCCCCUGUUCCUUUCUAGCUACUUCCAGUACCAAAAUGCAUGCAUGCAUGCUCCUUGUACAGUUAGUGUUGACACAGUGCAUGGCAAUGGCAAUCGGAUGCAAUGCAAUGCAGUGCUUCUUCCCGCAGAAUGUAAUCGAUGGCAUCAACACCCCCAUCUUCCUGCUCAACGCAGCAUACGACGUAUGGCAGGUAAUACUCCUAAGGGCACUCACAAUGCAGACUCUAUCAUAGAGUCUAAAGUUAUUUAUUACCUCGAACAAUGUGGACUUGGAGUCUAAAUAAGACUUUUUUUCUACCUCUUUCUUCAAUAAAUAUGCUGCCACAUCAGCAAAAUACUAUAAAUAAUAUGUAAUUAAGUGUGUUGGACUCUGUGAUAGAGUCUUGCAUUGUGAGUGCCCUAACUAACCGAUUUGUUGCAAGCUUUCAAAUGUUGUAAUAAGUACAUUUGUAAUAUCGAGCUAAGCUAUCAAUGGCCGCACACGAUCAGAUACAGGAGAGCCUGGCACCCACCGGAGCUGACCCCAGCGGAGCCUGGCGGGCCUGCAAGUCCAACCACUCUGCCUGCGACGCAUCCCAGAUGAAAUUCCUGCAAGGUUACUAAUUCAGUUACAUGUCAUCCGAAGGGCCGGCCUGAUGUUCUCAAGGUUAAUUUCUAAUUAAGUACAUCCCUGGAUCGAUCAAUUGCAUUGCAUGCAGAUUUCAGAGACCAGAUGGUAGCAUCGGUGAACAACGGCUUCGCUGGCUCCAGGAGCAACGGGCUCUUCAUCAACUCCUGCUUCGCGCACUGCCAGUCCGAGCUGCCGAUGACAUGGAGCGACAACGCGGCAGGUGGUGGUGCCUCCCCGGCCAUUCAAAGCAGGGUAACUUGCAAUGCAGCCAUCCAUAUAUACACACAUAUAAAAGCAAUAAAAUAAAAAGUUUGAGCUGUUUUGCGUAUAUAUAUGCAUGCAGGGGAUUGCCAAGUCAGUGGGCGACUGGUACUUUGGUCGAGCUCAAGUUAAGGCCAUCGACUGCCCCUACCCAUGCGACCGAACAUGCCGCAACAUCAUAUGACAACAACAUCGUCUCCUGCUGCACCACACAUCCUCGACAGUUGUACAUCACAUCACAUCACAUCACAUCAUUUUUUUUUGAGACCACAUCACAUCAAUUUGUGAACACAGUGAAAGCAAAUGGGUGCGACCAUUAAGAUUAAAUGAACGAUAAUAAGCCGAGCCUAUAUAUGUAGGGCUUAAGUGAUAGUUAAACUUGCAUUGUUAAGUGAUUCAUUCAUACAGAAAGCAGAUGAGAGUGAGUGUGUACUGUUUAUUUCGCAUGAUGUUGGCCUCCAAGUUUAACACGAUCUGAUUAUUCAUGGCAAAUUCAGUAGUAGGAUGUUAGAUGAGCAUGUGAACUGUUUGUACGGAUAAACCAGCCAACAGUAGGGUGUAUUGUGCAACACUAAUCGUUGUUACUCCGAUGACUUCUCUGGUGCACCACCAGAGAGUUAGGGGGCGUGUUAAAUCACAGUGUGCACGUGAAAACCACCCUCACUCAACUGACCAUGCGGUGCAUCUCUCCGGUGCCACGCCUGAGAGUUCCAAUGUACACUAAUAGGUUAGGGUUAGCUCUUGUGCACUGUACUAAAACUCUGAUGAGCCAACAGAUAAUUUUGGUGUGUUUAAUAAUCCAUAUAUGCCAUCUUCUUCCAUGACAUCCAUGUUACCUAUUUACAAGAACCCAUCUCAACCUUUUUAUCUCUUUGUUCCUAAUCCACGCGGAUGAGCUGGCCGGACAGUGGCAAGGCACAAGGGUUGGGGGUCACUACUACACAUUUCAUUUUGCACACCGUUUCACAUAAGGGCUCCAAGACGGACGUCAUUUUUGUCCGCAACGGUUAUUCUAGUUAGCAGCAGCCGGCCGGACAACCGCCAAGUAACCGCCACGGUUAAUAUUUGGAACUUGUAAGCUAACCGCCACGGUUAAUGAUUAAUCAUGGUGGGAAGUGUAAAGUAACCGCAGUGUAAGCUAACUGCCAUGGUUUAAUCUAUUAACUGUGGCGGUCGACUUUUCCACUAUCAACCCCCAAAAAAACCUAACUCUACCUUAUGUAAAGUUGCUAGAGUACAAUUAACCUUUGGAUUUGAAAUCACUGCUUAUAUACCUGGUAUUGGCCAUUAUUUUACAAGAACAUUAUGUAGUAUUAGUAAGAGGAGGAAGGGUUAAGGAUUUACCCGGUGUGAGAUAUCUCAUUAUUCGAGGAACCCUAGAUGCUAUCACAGUAAAGAAUCAUCAACAAGGGCGUUCUAGUGAGUUGUAGAAUCUUAUCCAAGACUUGUAUCAUUUGAUGAUGCCAUGCGAAUCACUAGAAACAUGUGAAGUGUAUGGCUAACCCAAUAACGAAAGUUUCAUAAGGGGACUGCAGUAGGUUACCAUGAGACAAAAGAUCUUCUUUCUAAAGAGAUUCGAUUCGGAACUCUUAUAUGUCCAAGGUCAAUAUGGGAAUUCUUUCAGAGGUUUUCCCUUACUUUGUCUAUGUCAACAAACAAUUCAAAAUACCUCGCCUUUUCCAAAACAGGUCCGAGUCAAAUAGCAAUGAUUCGAAGCACUUCUUUUUUCCAUUACACUAUUUCAAAAAAAGAAGUAGUGUUAAAGGUUUAGGGUUUAACGGUCCCUCACUCCCUCCCCAUCCCGCCGCUCUAGGUCCCGUCAACCCGUCCGACACGCUCGUCGUUCCUCUCCACGGAGCCGCAUGGCGGCGGCGCACCCCUUCUCCCCUCUCCUUCUGGCCAUGGCGCAAGCCAGCCUGGCCCCUCCUGGUAGUAGUGCGGCGCGGCCCGACCUCCUCCUCCCCUCCCUCCACGGCAUGGAUCUGGCAUGGAUGGGCUCGGGCGCCUCCUCCUCCGGCAGCGGCCACACGACCACCUCCUCUUCCUCCUUCGGCAUGGUGGCUGCCCCUCCUCUCACGAUAAUGGAUCUAACAGUGGCUCCCUCUUCUCCCUCCCUAGCGACACGGGUUAGGCGAUGUUGCGUGCAAGGAGUCUAGAUCCGGUGAUGGCGCAAUGAGGAGCAACAGCGAGCACAGGGAGGCGAAGCACCUCUAUCACCGGUACCAGAUAUGCACGAGGCGGCAGGUGGUGUGCAGGGGCAGCGGUGGGAGGCCCAGCUAGCAACGACAGCGGUGGCCCGUGGAUGGGCUCGGUGGGCCCAUGGAUGGGCUCAGUGGCCUUAUCCACGGGUUUCCUUUUUUGUUUUUUUUGUGCGAUUAACCAUGGCGGACAACAUAAGACAACUGCUAAGUUAAUAUGUAUUUAUCGUAGCGAUUAUCUUAUGUUGCCUGUCACGGUUAAAUGAUUAACCAAGGCGAUUGGGAGAAUCGCCUCGGUUAAACCAUGUUUAACCGUGAUCUUGUGGCUGAAGCGGUUGCAAAAACCAUCACGAUACAUACAAAAGUCCCACCACCAUUAAGUUUUCAUAUAGUAGUGGCUAGUCAGGAUUCUUCCCGUCCGAACGCUCGGACGGGAAACUUUCACCGAUAAUUCCCGCGUCUUCUUCCCGCGCGAGUUUCUGCGGACAGGAGCCAAUGGCCUCGAUUGCCCACUUAGCAGAGUAUGUUUUCUUUUUUUUUCUUUUUUGUUUCUCCUUUUCUUUUUUCUUUCCCACCUAGGUAUGGCGCACCGGAACAGAACAACUCAUGUACGUUAGUUUCAUUUUUUUAUUUUUAUUUUUUAUUUCAUUUUUAUUUUUCCAUCCAGACGUUAGUUUCCUUUUUCUACUUUCUAUACUUCUCAUUUGUUUUUCUUAUUCUAUUAUUUUUUUAUUUUUCUCACAGGACAUGACAUUUUAUGGUUUAUUUAGCUUUUUUUAUUACUUUAUUUUAUUUUUUAUAUUGUAUAUGUUUUUUAUUUCUUUUCUUUCCAUUCCUUUCUUUUUUCUUAUUAUUUUUUUAUUUUCUUAUUUCAAUUAAUCUUUCCCGACGUAUAUGUUUCUUUUCUUCUCUCAAAAUAGGUAGUUGGUAUUUUUUUCUAUUUAUUUUCUUCUUGAUUAACUCCUGGUAGGUUGUUAUACUAGUUUCUUUUUUUAUUUCUUAUAUUUAUUUUUCCUUUUAUUUUCUUAUUUUGUAUUCUGUGUUCUUUUACUCUACUUAAAUUUUUUACUUUUCAUGUUCAUAUUUAUUUUUUAUUUUCCUAUAUAUUUAUCAUUUGUUAUUCAUGUUUUAUGUAUGUUUUCUGUUCUUUGCUAUUUUUUUUAUUUUUUAUAUUAUUAUUAUUUUUAAUAUAAAAUUAUUUUUAGUUUAUUUUUUAUAUUAUAUGAGAUUUUACGUCAUAUAGUAUAGAUGUGAUGUUCUACGAUGUGUUUUUGUGAUGUUCGCAUGUAUAUAAUUUCAUGUUCUGUGAUGUUUUGUUUGUAAUGUUCAUGUAGUAUGUAUGUGAUGUUCUAUAAUAUUUUCUACGAUGUUCACAUGUUGUAAAUGUGAUGUUCUACGUUUUUUAUGUCCAUGUGGUAUUAUAUGAUAUAUUUUAUAAUGUUCUUCUAGUAUAUAAGUGAUGUUCACGUAGUCUAUAAUAAUGUUCUAUGAUGUAUUAUGUGAUGUUUAUGUGGUAUAUAUGUUUUAUACUAUUACGUUUUUUAUUUUAUAGUGUAUUUAGUAGUGUUCACUUAGUAUACACAUGAUUUUUUAUACUAUAUAUUAGGAUUUUUAAAAAGUACACAUGUGCUAUUAUUUUAUUUAUUUCUCUAUUAAGUGUUUAAUUAUAGUAUUUAUUUAUUUAUUUAUAUAUGUAUUUUUAUGUAUAUUGUAAUUCUAUUUCAUGAAUCUAAAUUAUGAACAUUCUUCUUACAGAGACGAAACAUUGUUCUUUAAAUCUAGAAUAUCGACUUUGCUUAAUAAAAGAAAAUGUUCUAUCUUCAUUAGAUAAAUGUUCGUUAAAAAAAUUACUGAAAUAUAUUUAUAUGGGAUCUUGUUUUAAAGGAUUUAUUGAAAGAAAUUCAAUGGUGUAAUUGGAAUUUAUUUUGGAUAUUUUAUUUAACAGUUAUGAUUUUUUUAGUUAGCAUGCGUGUUCUAGAUGAGGUGGUGCAAAUUUUCUGGCGCAAGAUCCUCCUGUGCACCCUGCUGUCUGCUGUGGGCGGAAUUUGCGAGCGCAGGAAAUGAGCUGAGUUUAGGCGGGAAAGAAUCAUCGGCGCUAGAAUCUGGACUAUCUGGGCCUUGUUUAGUUCCAAAAAAUUUUGCAAAACAGCUACUGUAGCACUUUCGUUUGUUUGUGACAAAUAUUGUCUAAUCAUAGACUAACUAGGCUCAAAAGAUUCAUCUCAUCAAUUCCGACCAAACUAUGUAAUUAGUUUUUAUUUUCGUCUAUAUUUAAUACUCCAUGUAUGCGUCUAAAGAUUCGAUGUGACGGGGAAUCUGAAAAAUUUUGCAAAAUUUUUUGGGAAGUAAACAAGGCCCUGGUCCGGCCGCCCGGACCUUAAGAGCUCCCGUGGCUAGUGGGUGGCGAGUGGCUCGGGCAGAGGGCCGCGCACAGCCAGACAGACGACGGGCAUAUUUUUGUUGGUUGGCGCAGGUCUCGAAGCAUGGUAUUGACUUCCCUCCUCUGAUUCCCUGCAGGCUAGUGCUCUGCAAUGUAUGGAGUACUAAGCACGCACAUGCGCAUCCACCUCUUGCUUCGCGUGCGCUAAUUAUAUACUAUAUAUAUAUGCAUCUGAGCAGCUCGCUGUUUCAUAUGCUUUGGCUGCACAGCAGGUGCGGCCGCGCAGCCUGCCUGUCUUUUGAUCGAUCGAUCAAGCCUCAAGGGGUACCGAGAUGACGGAUCGGCCGUCGUUUCCGGCUCUCAUUGCUCUCGCCGUUCUUGUGGUGGGCAGCUACUGCUGCGUGGCGACCUCGGCCGCCUCGCCGGCGGUGGAAGAUGAUGAGCUGCGUGGUCGGACGAUGCGGCGGCGCCGCGCGGCGUCGGUGAUGGUGCCCAUCACCAUCCUCAAGUCCGCAGUCAGCGACGGAGCUGGUAUGUAUGCUGCUGCUGCAUGUUGCUCCUCUGAUCUUGGCUCUUGGUGGGAUAUGGAGAUAUAUGGGUUAUAGUGCGGUGCGUGGGGGGUAUCAAAGGCGCGCUCUAGCUAGUCUCCAUUGUGACAAGCUAUAGCUUUUGCUAGUUAUUACUAGUUAUAUAUAUAGUCCAGAUUUAAGCUGUUUCUUGUGCUAAUUGUAAUGGUCUGAAGACUGCUACCGUAAUUGGUAGCUUAAGGUUCAGACGUUCAGUAUUUCUACUGGUGUUCGUUGGUCGAUUUCCUACGUAUCUGGUGAAACAAUGCCUCACAGGAAGUAACAAAAGAAAUACCAGUAGAUGAAUGGGAACUGAUGAACUAUGCAUUGUAAAACUAAUGUUGGAAAUGUCACAUGGUACUGUCAGCGUUGCCCAAAUUAACAAAAAGCAUUUUAUAAGAACUAAAGAUAUACUAGUAUAUUAUAAUAAUAUAUAUUAUCUCAGUGUGCAUGGAUGGAACGCCACCUGCUUACAACUUGGAUCCUGGCUCCGGAACGGGUAGCAGAAGCUGGAUUGUGAACUUAGAGGUCAGUAAAUAUAUAUACUACCAUUUGAAAUUUUUAAAGCACAUACUUAAGCUUAAAGUUCUAUAUAUGAUUCAUGUUGUUCUUAUUAGUAUUCGUUAGUACUAAUGUAAGAACUCCCCACUUUUUAUAUAUCUUCGCGCUUAAUUGCUUAAACUUUUCUAUAUGUGAUGUUCUUAUUUUUAUUUACAUUUUCGAAGUUGUGUACUACUUUAGUUUCUUCAUAAGUACACUAACGGAGUAAUAAGCUUAUUAUUAUACAUAUGCCGGGCAUGGACGCAUGCAUAUGCAGGGAGGUGCAUGGUGCAACAGCGCCAAGACAUGCCGGCUUACCAAGAGCUCCGGGCGCGGCUCGUCGGACCACAUGGAUAAAGAGAUCCCCUUCACCGGCAUCAUGAGCAGCAGCAGCGCCGUCAAUCCUGGUCUGCCCUGUUUUUAAUUUGUCCAUCCACAGUUCCACACCGCAUCUUAGAUUAGCUUAUCCAUGUCCAUUACUCAUCAUCCCCGAUGCUGAUAAACACGAGCAUAUAUAUUGUAUGUGUAGAUUUCUACAAUUGGAACCGGGUAAAGAUUCGCUACUGCGACGGUGGAUCUUUUGCCGGCGAGGCCUUUGAUAAGGUGCCCAAAGAACAUCAUCACUACUCAAAAGUAGAAGCAUAGCUUGUGAAAAUGAUUCUUCAAAGUGUAGUUUGUGAAUUGAAAUAUAUAUUUUUUUUAAUCACUGUAGUAGUUUGCAGACAUUUUAUUUUGACAUCUUCUGACUACAUAGGAGUUAACUUGUAGAACACUGGGAUUUAUUUCCGAGGGCAGCGCAUCUGGAACGCGGUCAUCCGGCACCUCCUCUCCAUUGGGAUGGCCUCUGCUGAUCGUGUGCUGCUCACCGGCUGCUCCUCGGGGGGUCUGGCGGUGAUCCUGCACUGCGACCAGUUGCGCGCCUUCUUCCCGUCCGGCACCACCGUCGUCAAGUGCAUCUCCGACGGCGGCCUCUACCUCGACGCGUACGUACCCUACCUGUGCUGCAUCACACACAAGAGGCCGGCAACUGAACUGACAGCAGGUUUCCCUCCCAUGACUCCGGUGGCAUGCAUGCAGCGUGGAUGUCUCCGGUGGCCGGAGCCUGAGAUCCUACUUCCGUGACAUCGUGGCCAUGCAAGGAAUAGCUCAGAACCUGCCGCCGGCUUGCACCGCCCGUCUCGACGCCACCUCGGUGCGUGCUGUCGCUGCUCUCCUAUUGCUUCUCAUGAAGUGAUGGUUGCUCUGAAAUCUCAAUCUCGUGUGAAUGCAGUGCUUCUUCCCGCAAAACAUAAUCGAUGGCAUCAAGACCCCACUGUUUCUGCUAAAUGCAGCAUACGACUUCAUUCAGGUAAACAUUAAUUUCGCUUUAAUGAGCAGACACCCUAAAUAGCAAAUGUAUUACCGGUGACAUUACUUACCUGCAUUGUUCCGUCAGAUUGUGCUCAGCCUGGCGCCAGACAGAGCUGACCCAAACGGCGCUUGGCGAGCCUGCAAGUCCAACCGCACGGCCUGCAGUGCAUCCCAGAUGAGUUUCCUGCAAGGUUAAACUGGGAAUCCAUUUGGUAAUGCAAGUUCAUCUUCAUCAGGAAAUGACGAUCCGAAUGACUAAAGCAAAUUGGUACACAAGUGCAGAUUUCAGGGACCAGAUGGUAGCAUCCGUCAGAGGCUUC